rnacentral:rRNA from 1 species
AUGCGCCUGGCCUGGCCUGGCCUUGCCAUGCCAGCCGUCCGUCGCCACGUCACGCCAUACGCAGCCUCACCAGCCGGAACCAACCAGCGCCUGUACGAGGAAAACGACAAGGAGACGCCGAGGCCGCCAGCGUGCUACCUGCUCUUCUCUUCUUCUACCUCCUCCGAUCCUCCCCACACGAGUUCGGCUCAACAACGCCACGCCCGAAAGCGACGGCGGACAAAUCCGAGUUUUGCAGGGCGUCCUCCUCCGGCCACCACAGCCCGGAGCGGCCUUCUCUCCUCAGACAAAUCCUCCGUCUGUCCGCACCCGCGUGCGAAUAUACGUGAACGCACGCGCUGCUGCACUGGGCUGGCGCUGCCAUAA